rnacentral:rRNA from 1 species
AUUGAACGCUGGCGGCAUGCCUUACACAUGCAAGUCGAACGGUAACGGGCCUUCGGGUGCCGACGAGUGGCGAACGGGUGAGUAAUACAUCGGAACGUGCCCGAUCGUGGGGGAUAACGCGGCGAAAGCUUUGCUAAUACCGCAUACGAUCUACGGGUGAAAGCAGGGGACCGCAAGGGCUUGCGCGGACGGAGCGGCCGAUGGCUGAUUAGGUAGUUGGUGGGAUAAAAGCUUACCAAGCCGACGAUCUGUAGCUGGUCUGAGAGGAUGAUCAGCCACACUGGGACUGAGACACGGCCCAGACUCCUACGGGAGGCAGCAGUGAGGAAUUUUGGACAAUGGGCGCAAGCCUGAUCCAGCCAUGCCGCGUGCAGGAUGAAGGCCUUCGGGUUGUAAACUGCUUUUGUACGGAACGAAAAGCCUUCUUUUAAUACAGGAGGGUCAUGACGGUACCGUAAGAAUAAGCACCGGCUAACUACGUG